rnacentral:rRNA from 1 species
CUGGUUGAUUCUGCCCGUAUUCAUAUGCUUGUCUCAAAGAUUAAGCCAUGCAUGUCUAAGUAUAAGCAAUUUAUACAGUGAAACUGCGAAUGGCUCAUUAAAUCAGUUAUCGUUUAUUUGAUAGUACCUUACUACUUGGAUAACCGUGGUAAUUCUAGAGCUAAUACAUGCUUAAAAUCCCGACUGUUUGGAAGGGAUGUAUUUAUUAGAUAAAAAAUCAAUGCCUUCGGGCUCUUUGAUGAUUCAUAAUAACUUUUCGAAUCGCAUGGCCUUGUGCUGGCGAUGGUUCAUUCAAAUUUCUGCCCUAUCAACUUUCGAUGGUAGGAUAGUGGCCUACCAUGGUUUCAACGGGUAACGGGGAAUAAGGGUUCGAUUCCGGAGAGGGAGCCUGAGAAACGGCUACCACAUCCAAGGAAGGCAGCAGGCGCGCAAAUUACCCAAUCCCGACACGGGGAGGUAGUGACAAUAAAUAACGAUACAGGGCCCUUUUGGGUCUUGUAAUUGGAAUGAGUACAAUGUAAAUACCUUAACGAGGAACAAUUGGAGGGCAAGUCUGGUGCCAGCAGCCGCGGUAAUUCCAGCUCCAAAAGCGUAUAUUAAAGUUGUUGCAGUUAAAAAGCUCGUAGUUGAACCUUGGGCUUGGCUGGCCGGUCCAUCUUUUUGAUGCGUACUGGACCCAGCCGAGCCUUUCCUUCUGGGUAGCCAUUUAUGGCGAACCAGGACUUUUACUUUGAAAAAAUUAGAGUGUUCAAAGCAGGCCUUUGCUCGAAUAUAUUAGCAUGGAAUAAUAGAAUAGGACGUUAUGGUUCUAUUUUGUUGGUUUCUAGGACCAUCGUAAUGAUUAAUAGGACGGUCGGGGGUAUCAGUAUUCAGUUGUC